UAAAAUCAAACAAAUUUAAAAGUUCACUUUGAAAUUUGUGAACUCAUUAAAACAUACUAAUAUCCUUUGAGUAACAAUAGAUCCAUGAUUUUAUCCAUUGUGUUUUGACUCAAAACAAAAGUCAUACUUUUCUCUUUCAUUUACCAGAAUCGAAGUCACAGGAAAGCUCAUAAUCCAUUUUAAUUGUUCUCAAAUUAUUUGAGAAAUCAGAAGCUGAUGUUAAUAAUUUUACAAGAAUCAUUCUCAAUCAAUAACAGUUGGGGCAGAUUCGAUGAAGGAACUUCAACGAACUGCAAUUAUUGAAUAUUGACGACGACCUAGAAAUCGUCAUCUUGCAUUAGAGUCAAGAGCUAGGUAACUGCAAUUUUCCCGCAUUUAUUUUGAUUUUUUGUGCUUAUAAUGGUGAUGGGAUCGGUUAAAGUAUAGUUGAGAUUGUUAUUGUUAUUGGUGAUGUGGGUUUGUUGGGAUGAUUUUUAUAUAUUUUUUCUUUAAAGUCUGAAACUGGAUGAACCAAAUUGGUAUCAUAGUUAAAAUUUUGUCCAUAAAUUCAGGGGUAAUGUAGAAACGAUAUAUAUUGUUGUCCAAGUUGUACCUAAAGUAAUUAAAUAACAAUCUUUGUUCAAAAAUCAAUGUAAAUAGAUUAAGCAAAAGCUAAAUCCCAUUUCAUUGUUUUUAAUUUUUGCAAACAAAAAAUGGUGUUUUAAUUGCUUAUUAUUUUUGCAAGCAACUGUUGGAUGCCUAGUUUAUUGGAUUCUUUUUUUUUUAGGUAUUUGUUAGCAGUAUAUAUAGUCAGUUGUUGUAGUGAACUAUUGGUACGUGACUGGGAGAUAAUAUCAACUGUUAUAUGCAUUUGUUAAGUUUAUUGAGUUCUAUUUUUGGGUAUUUGUUUUUUAUAUAUACUCAGUUGCUGCAGUGAUUGUGUUGGUUUAAUAUUAGGUGAUAUUAUGAAUUUUUGCAAGCGUGAAAUGUCAGUGUUUGAUGAAGAUUUGCAAAAGCUGAGAAUAUGACAUGACAUGCUCAGAAUGUCUGUGUUUGUUUUUGUCCAAAAAUGGUAGUCUGGGUUAUAUUGUUAUGUGUUUAUUCAAGCUUAUUAAAUUGCAUAAGAUAUGUCGUGCACUGAAUUUGAAAGUGAUAGUGUUGUUAUUAGAGAGCAUUGACUUGAGUGAAGUUGAUAGAGUAGUAAAUAUAAAGAAAUUGUAUGCAUUUUAGUUGUGUUGAUAUUGAUGAGUUUAGUUUAUUAGUUGCCACACCCUCUUCAAAAAUAACUCCAUUGUUGAAGUCAGUCCUCUUUGAUACCCACCACUUGAAAUAUCCACACCCUUUCUCCUUGGCACAACAAUAAUAAGCAUAUGUGGAUUGCCAUCAAAUUUAGAAACCUUCAUAUCAACUUUCAUUUGACAUUUGCAUAUUUUAUUUGAAUACUUGAUGAGCUUACCAUUGAUAUUUCUUUGAUGUGUUUGAAAUGCUUGAGCUUUGUGAUUCCAUGGAUACUCAAGUGAUGGAUCUUUGUGUUUAAAGAAUUAAUGGUUGAUGAUUCUUUCAAAAUUGAGUUGGAUGAUGAAUCAGAAUGGGAGUAUGAACUUUUCAAUGAAUGAGCUUUAUUUGAAGUUUUUGAUUGUUGAUGCAAAUGUCAAGUAAACCACUUGUAAAUGGUGAUAUUGAGAUGAUGAAUAUAUAGGCAACAUCACUGCCAAUAUAGCCAUUUGCAUUCAGGGUAAUAUUGGCAGUGAUGUUUAACAUUUUUAAAGCAUUGUUUUGUCAACUUUUGAUUUGUAAAUCAACAAAGACAAUUUGAGUUUUGUUAGGGAUAAUAUGAUAAUUUUAUAUUGCUCAUACACUUUGGCGCCAAUUGUGACUAAGAGCUCUUACCCAGUAGAUCUUCGUUAUCUUUGAUUAUAAUGGUUCAAGGGUAUUUUCAUCAUUUACUUAAUCAACUAACAACCAUUUAAACUGCAUCCUAACGUGAGCGAAGGAAAGCGGAAAUAAGCCAAUACAUUCCAUCAAAGUAGAGAUACACUAGACUUCAAGGGAGAAAAGUGAAAAUUACCCUAUAUUUAAGCAUUUCAUUGGUAGAAAGCAAAUGAUCACGUGAAAAAAAAAUCACUAUUUAUUUUAGAUUGUUGAAGGACCUAAUGGGGAUGUGAUGAUCGAGAUGGACAAGAUGAUAUAUUCUCUAAGAUGAUGUAUUCUCUAAGUAAGCUUUAAAGAUUUCUUAUGAGAAAGAUGAUAGAAAUUAUUGGAUCUUUUCUUAAGCAUGUGUUACUAAGGCUGUGAUCGCCAUUCUUGCUUGCUUCAACAAAGAUCAAAGGUGAGUAACAAUCGACAAUAGUACUUUUGACAACCUUGAAGAGUUGGCUCUUAUUAAUAAGCCUAUUUUAAUCGCACUUGCCAUCUCAUUUCAUUAAGAAUAAGAAGCGUCUUGUUGCUAUUUUUUGAAUUUUAGAGAAACUUUUAAGUUUACUAUUAGAAGAUUUCCAAUGGUGACUAUAAUAUAUUUAUUGUUUUGUAAUUUGAAAUUUUUUUCAUUACUUAUUGCUAAAUUAUGCUUCCAAUUAACUUGUGCAAGUGAUAACAAAGAUUAUCAAUUUAUUUAUGGGAGAGCUCAAAUUUAACGUUGCAGUGGUGAAGUGAUAGUUGAAGAAAUUUAAGACUAAAGGGGUUCAUGUUCUUCAGAGAUCACUUAUCUUGUAGAGGCUUCUUAAAGCAAUUAAUCUUGCAAAUGAGAUACUAUCACUGGAAUUGAAAACUCAAAUUAAAAUUCAUUCUUUGAUCACAUGUGAGAAAGGAAAGGUCAUGAGACUAAAGAUAUAUUAGUUGUUAACAUGAAUAUGUUAAUAAUAUUGAUUUUGAUGAUAACAAACUUUAAAUGGUUUUUGAUAAAAGUGUUGGAGCUAUUCCUUAAUAAACGAAAGCCUUAAUAAUCAUUCCAUUCAUUUUUUCAUAAAAGAUGGACCUUCAAAUUCAAAAAUGAUUCUCUGUAAAAUCUGUUUUAAAGUGUGAUUCUGGAAAUAAACGGUAAACUGUUUUCCUUUAAACGGUUAACCGAUUAAUGCCAGAGAGCAACAUAUUUCCUAAACCUCUAACUGUUUAUGAAAAACGAAAAACACCAAAGAUGGGAAGGCUACUGGAACUUAACGGUGAACCGUUUAUUUAAAUGGUUAGCCGAUUAACACCAGAGAGCAAUAUAUUGCUUAAGCUCUAACCAUUUAUGAAAAAUGGAAAACAUCAAAGAUGGGAAGGCUACUGAACUUAACGGUGAACCGUUUAUUUAAACGGUUAACCGAUAACAUCCAGAAUCACUGAUUAACAAAACCGGUUAAGGCUGAAUUGUUUUGCAGGUUACUGGAGACAAACAGCGAACCGUUUAUUACAAACGGUCAACCGAUAAUAUCCAGAGAAGUCACUUCAUGCAAAUCUUUAACCGUUUACUUUAAACGGAUAGCUGAUAUUCAUUUUGCAAGUCUCUGGAAUUUAACGGCGAAAGGGCAAUCCUAAACAGCAAACUGUUUAUUUGAAAUUUGGCCCAACGGUAACUUUUGACCAGCGUAAACGGUUAACCGUUAAUGGCUAACGGCGAACCGUUUUCAGACCGACAGUUUGUAACGGCUAAUUUUUCAGCUCCAACUAUAAAUAAGCUCAUUCAAAUUCAAACAAGCAUCAUUGAGCAAAAUAUUGAGAAUACAACUUUCAUUGAGCUUUAAAUCCUUGUAUUCAUCUCAUUCAUUCACACAUUGAGCUUUCAUUUGCGAUCAAACACAUUGUGUGAGAGAAAUUCAUUUGUAAUCCUUUUUAUAAAAUCAAGUUAAAAGAUUGUAAGUGUUGUGAUACACUUGGGUUAAGAGAUUAUGGAUAAUCUCUUGUUGUGGAGGUCCAUUGACACUUUGGAAGUCAAUUGUAAGCAUUUGAAGCCUUGGAGGCUUGCUUAGUGAAAUCCUCAAGCCCGGUGAGCUUGGAGCCGUAGACGUAGGCGGAGAUUGCCGAACCACGUAAAAAUCAUUGUGUUUGCUCUCUCUUCCCUUACUCUUUUAUUAUUGUGCUUUAUUGAAUUUAUUAUUUUUUAGCAUUAGAUUAAAUUGUUGUGUGAUUUGCUUAGCUUAAUUUUUAAAACCCCAAUUCCCCCCCCCCCCUCUUGGGUUGCAUACUUGUAUUUCAAUUAAUAUCAGACCCUUAUUCUCUUGUUAAGACUUAAUCAUCUAAAAGUAAAAAAUCUAAGGUAACCCUAAAUGACUCAACCUUUAGAGAAGGGCAAUCUACAACUAGACCACCAUUUUUCGAUGGUAAUGACUAUGCUUAUUGUUGAGUGUUAGAAAAUGCAUAUUUAUAAAGGAGAAAACCGUCAUUUUACAUUUCAAGUCUUACUAACAACCCUUACUUUUAUGUAUUUAACCUUCUUGUGAUUUAAUUACAUGUGUUUUAUUUUAAUUAAGUAUUUUAUGUAUUUUAGGGGCAUUAUAGUCAUUUCACAAUAAAGGAGAGAUCAGAUGGCAAAACGGACAUCACUUUUGAACUCAGGACGGUCGAAAACCUUAGGAGGAGCAUAAAAGGAAAAAUGACACUGUUCACAUGUACGGUACUAUUCACAUGUACGGUACUGUAUACGUUACUGUUCAUGACACUAUUCACAUAGACGGAUGAUGACGUGGCAUUGAC
rnacentral:lncRNA from 1 species